GCAGGACACCAUGCGAGUCCCUGCAGCUUGCUGCUGGCCUCCACGCUUUCGGGUUUGCGUUCCAGCAGCUGGAACACAACACAGAACCUAUUACCUGCUCCGUCCUGCUGCCACUUCCGGGUGCCGUUAGCCGGGAGCAGUGUGUGCGGCUGCUGGGCUCGAGCUGUGUGUUAGUGGAAACAAUGUGACAGGCACACCUGUUUCCACUGCCAUUUGCUGUGUAUUGCCGGACAGAGCUGCCAGGGUGGUCAGAGGUGAAGCUGCUUAAUCACCAGCGUAAGACAGUGUGCUGGGAGAUGAGGAUGGUCUGAAGAUGGAAGACGAUCUGAUUGGAUAGUAUGGGGGCAGGUGGAAGGUGUACUGUGCCUUGCUGAACACUGUCUGCAAGUUAAGCAGGAAAGGUCCCAUCCAGGAAGGUAGUAAUCUGACUUAUUUAUAUCCAUUUGGAUCAGUGGACAAGAAUGCAAAAGAGAAAACACGGGAAAAGAGUAUGCAAUGCAAGACGCACGAACAAUGUAAAAUAAGAUGCACAACAACGUACAAUAAAGCAAAAAAAAAAGCAAAAUAAAUUAAAAGCAAAUUAAUAAAACAUAUA